AUACAGAGGGUGCGAGCGUUAAUCGGAAUUACUGGGCGUAAAGCGCGCGUAGGCGGAUUGACAAGUUGGAGGUGAAAUCCCGGGGCUCAACCCCGGAACUGCCUUCAAAACUGUCAGUCUUGAGUUCGGAAGAGGUGAGUGGAAUUCCUAGUGUAGAGGUGAAAUUCGUAGAUAUUAGGAAGAACACCAGUGGCGAAGGCGACUCACUGGUCCGAUACUGACGCUGAGGUGCGAAAGCGUGGGGAGCAAACAGGAUUAGAAACCCUUGUAGUCC
rnacentral:rRNA from 1 species